rnacentral:lncRNA from 1 species
AGACUACUUACUAUGCCAAGGUGAUGGAUUCGGAUGUGAACCAGGCGUUGGAUGUGUUGGCUGAUAUCUUGCAGAACUCUAAGUUCGAGGAGCAGAGGAUUAACCGGGAGCGUGAUGUCAUCCUCAGGGAAAUGCAAGAGGUAUCAUCUUCUUCUUAAAAAUUCAAACUUUUUGCUCUGUUAUUGAUUGAUGGACUUAAUCAUAUGCUGGCAUGGUCGUGAAGUAAAUAUUUCGUUUGCAUUUUUCGUUUAUUUGGUGAUAUUAUUGUUAAUUUGAUUGUUCAUUCACUCUCUUAAGCACUGUUGUUGUUUUUUCUAUAGGUGGAGGGACAAACUGAUGAAGUUGUUCUUGACCAUCUACAUGCCACUGCUUUCCAAUACACACCUCUUGGAAGAACUAUUCUUGGACCUGCUCAGAAUAUCAAGUCUAUCACCAGAAAUGAUCUUCAGAACUACAUCAAGA